AACAUGCUCCUGAAUGACUUUUUAAUAAAUAAUGAAAUUAAGGCAGAAAUCAAGAAGCUCUUUGAAAAUAAUGAGAACAAAGUUACAACAUACUAGAGCCUCUGGACACAGCUAAGACAAUGUUAGGAGGGAAAUUUAUAGCACUAAAUCCCACAUCAAAAAGUUAGGAAGAACUCAAAUUAAUAACCUAACAUCACAACUGAAAGAACUAGAGAAGCAAGACAAAACCCCAAAGCUAGAGGAAGACAAGAAAUAACUGAAAAUCUGAGCUGAACUGAAAGAAACCGAGACAUGAAAAAAAGAAAUUCAAAAGAUCUAUGAAUUCCGGACACUACCCAAAGCAGUGCUUCACUACAGUGGCAGACAGACCUGAAAAUUUUCAUCUGAAGCAGCAGAGUGAACUGCAGAGGCAGGUCACCAACCAGUGUGGAGGCUAAAAGCGGGCCUCUUUGGGGAUUCCAGGUGGAAGUGUUGGACAUCUGUAGUAUUCCUGGUCUCGAAUCAUCCUGAUAUUCUUCAUUUUGUUAUUCACAUUGGACUAGG
rnacentral:lncRNA from 1 species